rnacentral:ncRNA from 1 species
UAUAAAUCUAUGAUGGGAAAUAGUAAAAAAGGAUGCUUUCCAGAGAGAAAACCAUUGGUGGAAGGUUUUUAAGCUUUAAUUUUUGAACCAGUCCUUGAGUGAAGAGUUGAAAAAAAGUAGAUUCUUCCGGUUCGUGCCGUUAUACGAUGAAGGGAACCUUUUGGGUUAAUUAGAGUGGUACCGCGGGUGAAUACAGUCUCUCGUCUCUAUU